GUUAUCAUUAAUUGGCGAUAAAAAUCUAGCUGAUACAAUUAAAAAUAAUUUGCUCUUACUGCCAACAGACACUAUUUUGUCAGAAUACAGCAUGAGUUGUCUAAAGAAGAAAAAAAAGUUUAAAGAGUUGGCAAGUCUAUGUAACUCUGUCACUGAAGCUGCUUUAAAGUCAAAUAAAAACUUAACCAAAAUGGAUGCCAUCC
rnacentral:lncRNA from 1 species